GCAGCCUGCAACUCGGCUGCAUGAAGCUGGAAUCGCUAGUAAUCGCGGAUCAGAAUGCCGCGGUGAAUACGUUCCCGGGUCUUGUACACACCGCCCGUCACACCAUGGGAGUAGGUAAUGCCCGAAGUCGGUGACCUAACCGGAAGGAAGGAGCCGCCGAAGGCAGGACUUAUAACUGGGGUGAAGUCGUAACAAGGUAGC
rnacentral:rRNA from 1 species